GUAUAUAAAUACUGUUACACCGAUGCAGGAAGAUCACUCUCCCUUUUGCCACCUCUCCUGAGCGAGCAUCCUCCCAUCAGCAGCGAGAGAGACAGCACAGCACAGCACCUCACAGCUUGCACCAGACAGAAUGAUGACUCGCAUCGCACUUCUCUUUCUUGCUGCAUGCCUGUACUGGAGCUGCACCACAGGCUCAGCAAUAGCCUUAGAUUGCUGCCUGUCCAUCACGGAUAAGCCCCUUCCUCGCGCAUAUGCACACUCAUACAAACUGACCGAUGCUGGAUGCAGCCUCAAGGCCACCGUGUUCACCACCAAGAGAGGAAAGCAUGUGUGUGCCCCUCCUCCAGAGAAGAGUGAAUGGGUGAGGAUUCUCAUCUAAUCUGAAUAAGAGAGGUGCCCAGUGAGUGCAUCAGGGGAGGAGAGGGAGAGAAAAGGGGUGAGCGAGGCCCAGUAGAACCUUGAUGAUGACGACAGUUCACUCGGCUGUCAAGGAAUGCUCUGCACGAUGGAACCUUGUGAGAGUCGAAAGCUGUGUGAAGCCAGUGCAGUUUUAUUUGUUACUUGGUGCUUUAAAAUGUUCUCAAAUGUUCUUUUAUUUUCAUUAUGUAUACUUUAAUUUGUAAUUUUCUGGUCUCAUGUCAA